GCGAGAAAACCUUUGCAAUGUGCGCAAGCACGACAAGGUUAAUCCGAGUGGUUUCUGCUAAAGGAACCUUUUGUCGGUCCUAGAAACACCGAUGAAUAAGGGGUGGGCAAGUUCUGGUGUCAGCCGCCGCGGUAAAACCAGCACCUCAAGUGGUCAGGAUGAUUAUUGGGCCUAAAGCAUCCGUAGCCGGCUCUGUAAGUUUUCGGUUAAAUCUGUAUGCUCAACAUACAGGCUGCCGGGAAUACUGUAGAGCUAGGGAAGUGGGAGAGGUAGACGGUACUCGGUAAGGAAGGGGUAAAAUCCUUUGAUCUAUUGAUGACCACUGUGGCGAAGGGCGGUCUACCAGAACACGUCCGACGGUGAGGGA
rnacentral:rRNA from 2 species